CUCCAAUUUGCUACAAUAAUCUGCUCCGUGUCGCCCACCAGCCAGCUCGGAGUUCUCUUUCUGGGCAGCCGCUCCAGACUCUCGCUGCUGUGGACGUUGCCAAUUAUCGAGCCUGUUGGUACUGGAAGAAUAGCUAUCUGAUUAUCGCAGCUGGUGAGAAUUCUCGCUGAGAUCCGGAGUUGCUGUAGCCUCUCAGGAGUUACGAAUUGGUGGCAUGCUCAUUGAGGGUUCUGGAGUUCACAGAGCGGAUGUUAGAGGAGGUUUGUAUUGUGAGGUCUUCUGCGUCUCGUGUGGUUUGGUGAAGGUUGCGGAAGUCAACAGAUUUGAAUUGUUUGUUCAGCAGUGGCUAAGGUGUAGUGAUCGAGAAGAUUUUGUUUUUCAAUAUCUUUGAAUUAAAGCCCCAUUUGAGACAGCCAUGGCUGUGGGGCACUGCGGGAAGCAGUCGACAAACCCAUUUGAGACAUCUGACAGCGAGGUUUCAUACGUCAACCCUUUUGAUGACGACGAUGAUGCGCUUGAAGUGAGCUCUGCGCAUUUUGCUUCUUCAGCUUCGGUCCCGAAAGAGGUGAACCGUGGUAGCUAUUCCUGUGAGGAGGAUGGGGAGGAUCUCAUACCAGUGAAGGUGGAGAGGACAUCCGACAAAGUGCGGCAUCCAUUAAUGGAGCCCAGGACGAUGAAGCGUUGAGCGAUCUGAGCAACCUGAUUGGCCAGCUCAAGAACAUGUCCCUCUUAAUUAAUUCGGAAAUUUCGAAACAAACUGAAGGCUUGGCUCACCUAGUGUACGAUGUAGAAGAACUUAACGCUCGAGUGAAAGGUGCCAACGUCAGAGGUCAUCAACUCCGUAGAUGAUACUCGUACCGUAUGAGCGGCAAAGAGUCCUUUUUAGUCACAAAAUAACCAAUUCUCGACCCUUAAUUUUAGUGUGAAAGAAUGUUGUAAAAUGUUUUAGAAAUCAAUGAGUUUUUAGAGAAUAUAUCAUUAUUUGGUGUGGAAAUUGGGACCCAAUGAACUAUUCUUAGUCACGUUACUUUGAUUAUUUUAAGGUAGAGAUCAAAAACAUGCUUGCAAUCACAACAGUUCUCGCAGCAUUCGACGGCUCGGAGAAGUCUCAAUGCUACAAUAAUCUGUUAAUAAAUCUUGCUAUCCAUAACAAAUUUUCAGUUCUCUCUCAA